GACGAACGCUGGCGGCGUGCCUAACACAUGCAAGUCGAGCGGAGUCGAUCGACGGAAGCCUUCGGGCGGAAGAUGGUUGACUUAGCGGCGGAUGGGUGAGUAACGCGUGGGCAACCUGCCUCGAAGACCGGGAUAACAGCCCGAAAGGGCUGCUAAUACCGGAUGUGGUCAAAGAUCCGCAUGGAUUUUUGAUUAAAGGGGAAACCCGUUUCGAGAUGGGCCCGCGUCCUAUCAGCUAGUUGGUGAGGUAAAAGCUCACCAAGGCGACGACGGGUAGCCGGCCUGAGAGGGUGACCGGCCACACUGGAACUGAGACACGGUCCAGACUCCUACGGGGGGCAGCAGUGGGGAAUCUUCCACAAUGGGCGAAAGCCUGAUGGAGCGACGCCGCGUGAGCGAAGAAGGGCCUUCGGGUUGUAAAGCUCUGUCUGGAGGGACGAAGGAAGUGACGGUACCUCCGGAGGAAGCCACGGCUAACUACGGUG
rnacentral:rRNA from 1 species